CAGAAAUAAUAGAAAAGGGUGUAAGCGAGGAAGUUAUGGCUCAGCAGUGAUGCUGUGCAGGGUCUCCUGUUGCAUCUUUGCAGAGCACUGAGGGGCUGCAGGGCAGUGCCUGCCUCAAGCUGCAGUGCCUCAUGCUCCCCCUUUUCCUCCUCCUCCUCUCUCCUCAGGGCUGGCAGGAGGGUUUCUCUUUUUUUUCUGCUCACACCUUGCUGCUGGGCACCAUUUUGCUGUUCCUGACCCAUCUGCGCCAGAGGUGGUGCUGAGGGGGGCCAGGCUGUGCCCUGUGCUGGGGGCCACUGGAACCGGCCAGGACCUCUCCUCACAGGGCUCCGUGGCUGACACCCAGGCACCCACAACCAGCGCAGCUGCUGGUGAUAGACAGCAAAAAUCCUCUCAGAAUUUUCCCCCAAAGCACAGGAUAAGUGGAUUCUCAAAGGGGGCAUUUUCCAGGCUUGCCAAAUGACUCCCCUGCCCCACCACAGACCUGGCAGAGGCUGGAGGUCAUGGCUUGGGCCUGCAGUGCUCAGCAGGGAGUGGCGGCAGCCAUUUUGUGGAUAGGGCCAGCUUCUUGCGUCCUGCUCCUGCACGUUUCUCCAGGCUGACGUUAGGAUUUGGGAUGUGCCAAGACCUCUGUAACACAGCACGUGCAAAGGCAUGACUACAUCCCACUGUGAAAUGAGCUGUGGUAAAGUUCCCAGGCCUUGUCUAAUACUCUGACACCCCCUUCUCGAACAGGAAUGCUUCCUCUGAAGGCCCCGGUGCUGCAGCAAGAGGAGCAGUACACCCAGGCAUUGUCAUGGCUCCAAUUUGCUGGACUGUCAUCUUGCCUCUCAGCAGCAGCAAAAUUUCUGCAUAACAUCAUCUCACCCAAGACAAACAACCUCAUGAAGGGCCAGAUUUACCUCCUUGCUGGCACCUGCUAUGGCAGCAGCAAUGACAGAGAAGACAAAGUUGUUGUCCACUGUCGGUGCUGCAGUGAAUGGUGCUACCUGGAGUUCCUGGCAAGCCGCUUCUGGAAAGUCUCACAGUACCAGUUCUGGGUUGAACAAUGUGCUCCAGUGAGCAGCACCCCACCAUAGGCAUGACUGGAGUGAGAAGCUUUACCAAGAGAACGCCACUGUUCAGCAUAAAUAGCUGUAAUGCUAUUCGGAAUGGGAUUACUUGUCCACUCUUCUGGAAGAAAUGCAGCAGCAAAGCAAGAAAACGAAAAACUCAGUGACGACUGCACAUCUUCCCCAAAGCGUUAUCUCAGAAAGGGCAACACAUAAGCCCCUAAAGGCUCUUUUUGCUCAAGAAAAGAGGCCCUGCCGUGCGGCUGGGUAAAACAGGGUUCUUCACCUACCCUCGCGCUGACUCAGAAAGAUCAAACCCUAGUACCUGGAACGCAGUGGUUCCUUGUACAUUUGUUUUUCCUUCUUGUAAAUUGGUUCUUUUGACAGAAGAAAAGAAGAUGAAUCUAUGUGCUUUCUUUUGCUUAUAUCUAUCAUUUGCUUUUUAUUAUUUUUAGAAAAAAAUAUUCUAAAUUCCUUUAUAUUGGAUACUUUGAGCUGCAUCUUGCAUCAAAUACUAGAAAAUCCUAUCCUAAAAAUGCCCUACCCAUUCCACAGCAAGUUACUGUGGAUAACUUGGCUGUAAUUGGGCAUGAACUUGGAGGCCCAGUAUGGCUUGGGCCAGGACCCCCUGUUAGGGGUGCGUGGUGCACCCGGGCAGGGCCAUCAGUGUCCUCCAAGCCCUGGCAUCACCCCAGUUACACCAUGCUUUCCUCAGACAUCAAACCCAAUUCUUGUUAGGGACACCCAGCUGAAUCCAUAGAUUUCACACGUUACUCAGCUGCAACAAGAAAUGUAUACACAAGUAAAACAAGAAAUUAAACUUGGCUUAGGACAGUUUCCCCUCCCUUUUAUUUAUUUUUUGUCUUCGAUAAAAUAAAUGUAAACCUCCUUACUUACCUUAGUGUUCUCCACAAAAAAUUCAUUUUCUGUGGAUAUGAAUUAAAUAUUUUUUUUUUCAAAAAAGCUCCUUUAUGAAAACCAGGUUUAAAGAACACAAUUACUGCUGAAGAAACCCUACAGAAUGUGAAUACCAGUUUUGUGCAGAUUAAGAGACGGUAUUUCCUGAAGAAAUAGGCUACAGUUCCAAAUGCCAUGGAUUUUAGUGCUUUUUUUCAGAGUACCGCUAACAACUUUUCUAUCUGCAGAAGCAGGUAAGGAAACCAAGAGCAGCAGGGCUUGUGUGUCACAAGCACUCUGUGAUGCGUUCAGCACAAGAUUUAUACCAUUUGCAAGCCAUGAAUGUGGCCUAGGUCACCAACAAAAAUUUCCCAACCUCUCCGUUGAGAGGAAAAACUCCCUAUUGAGCUUUGUGAACAAGUGAACAGUCCUCAUUUGCAGUCCCUUAGAAAGAAGGGCUCUGCAACUAGAAUAUAUUACAGAAAUGUCAUGCAAAGCACAGAUGCUAAAAGGGCUCACAAGACAGAUGGUUCAAGACUUCUUUUGGAGUUGGCUGGAUUGUCUUUAACAAGAAAACAUUUUUCUGAAGGCUGGAAUGUUUUACUCAACAUUCCCCAGUUUUCUUGGGUCCAGGCUGCUUUGAUGUAGCAGGUUACAGGAAAGUUUCCUAGCGCUCUCUGCAAAGCAGUUCUAGCUCAGGUCUCCGCCAGGUAGUGCGUCUCAUCUUGGGCCACUUUCCUGUGGCAAGAUAGUGACUCUGCUCAGCACCCCUAUCACUACAGCAGAAACGCUGUGGCAAGUCAGAUCCGCACAUUAAUGCCUCCCACACUUACCUACCAUUGCUUGACCCAAAGAGCUCUUCCGAAAUCAAGGCACUGACACUGCCACCUGAGAGCCGGCCUUAAACCAUUCCUUUUCAGCCCAACACAGAAGAGAGCCACAGUGUUGGCACCAACA